AUCUUUCGGGGGCGAGUCUGCUCCUUCCUAUCACUCUCAGCCAGCAGGUGAUCCUUACUGCCCAGCAUUGUGCCAGCUAGUGGGGGCGAGUCUGCUCCACCCUAUCACUCUCAGCCAGCAGGUGAUCCUCACUGUCCAGCAUUGUGCCAGCUAGCGGCACAGUCCGCUCCUUCUUCGCUCAGCCAGCAGGCGAUCCUCACUGCCCAGCAUUGUGCCAGCG